GACGAACGCUGGCGGCGUGCCUAAUACAUGCAAGUCGAACGCAGUGGGGACGGGUGAGUAACACGUGGGUAACCUCCCAUCAGAGGGGAUAACACUUGGAAACAGGUGCUAAACCGAUACUGAUGGAUGGACCCGCGGUGCAUUAGCUAGUUGGUGAGGUAACGGCUCACCAAGGCCACGCUGCAUAGCCGACCGUGUAGGGUGAUCGGCCAAGUCGGGACGGGGACACAGCCCAGACGCCUACGGGAGGCAGCAGUAGGGAGUCUUCGGGAAGGGACGAAAGUCUGACCGAGCAACGCCGCGGGAGGGAAGAAGGUUUUCGGAUCGUAAAACUCUGUUGUUAGAGAAGCGGUAUCUAACCAGAAAGCCACGGCUAACUACGUGCCAGCAGCCGCGGUAAUAC
rnacentral:rRNA from 1 species